rnacentral:lncRNA from 1 species
GAUUUUAGCAAAUGGCCGCAAUAGAACAAAGAGUGGGUCUGAAUACUUUUUGUACCCACUGGAAGUCUUAUUUGUUUAACAGACCUGAUCAGCCUGACCUUGAGCUAAGAGUUACUUUGUGCUGGUUUGUUGCCGGGUGAAAUGUUUUUUUUUUCAAUAAUUGUCUCAUUUGUCAGUCUUAUUUCAAGGUGUACUAAGGAGACUGAAGUUUGUCCUGCAGUUUAUUCCUCUGGUGUGUUUGUGUGUUCAGUGUGAGAUCAGGAUCAUGUGUGUCCAGCUCUGUGUCUCUGAAGAGUGACUGGUCAAUGAAUCAUCCACCAUACCUCGGAGAGAAAACACCAUCAUCUGCCCAAAGUGUUGAAUAUGAGUCAGCAGAUUCAGGAGACGAGACUCACAGGAGACACAAGAGCUUCACAGACAAUCUCCAGUGGAUCUUCCAGAAUCUUGAGAGCAAAAUGAUCAGAUUUCUGAAGAAUGAACUGGAAAAGUUUAUGAAAAUCUUACAAGACAAAAACAGACAAGAGUUUGUAAAAGACUUUAAAGAGAACAGAAGCAUUAUCACAGAAGCAGCUCUUGAUCUCACACUCUUCUUCCUGAGAGAGAUGAAGCAAGAUCAAGCUGCUGAUACUCUCCAGGGUAAGAGAGUCA